UUUCAUUACAAAUGUACAGAGAGACACAAGCUAUCAGAAUUGUUUCAGUAAUGGCUGGAUGCUCUGACGAUGUCCAGGCUAGAGGAGAUGCUAGCCUUUCACAUGAAACUCUGGUAAGACAUGGACACAUGAAGAUAAUGGAAGCUCCAGAAGCCCGGAUGAAGGUGCCACCCUUUCUUUAAGAGUCAAUGAGCUGCAAUUUCUUAAUCAACAGAGUUGCCCGCUACUGGACCGAAGUGAAGUGGAGGAACACGAGCAUCAGCUUGAGUGUCAAUCAAGGAACUGACAGCACUGAGACUGGAGCACAGCUCACUCAGAUAGGAUCUGACUGCCGCAAACCUUCAGAAUGAGCGGCUCCUCGACCGCUGGUUAGAGAAGAAAAAAAGAGGAGGCUGAGAGUUUUAAUAAAUACAAUGCAAUACAAGAAAGGUGGCAAUGUUUGGCUGGUCGCCUGAAGACGCGGUCUCGUGUCAGAUCUCGUGCACAUAGACAGCAGCUCAGUCAGAAAUCAAGCCCACAGAACGCACUUCUUAAGACUUGCUUAUCUACGAAUGUCAAUUAAGUUGUAGGCAAUUUUACUCCGCUUUUGGAGAUAAUUUUACAAAAAAAAUAAAGCUUAUUCUUAAUACCGAUGUUUAAUAACACGGUAACACA